rnacentral:rRNA from 1 species
CCCAACGUCCAUACCAUGUUGAAUACACCGGUUCUCGUCCGAUCACCGAAGUUAAGCAACAUCGGGCGCGGUCAGUACUUGGAUGGGUGACCGCCUGGGAACACCGCGUGAUGUUGGCU